GGGGCACCUUCAUUUCAAAAUGAUCAAUUGCAACAAAGAAUUACUAUAAAUCCCAAGCUCUUAAAAACAUAACUAGCCGCAUGUAUCACUCAGAACAAAAUCAAUUCAAGUGAGAAAUAAGCAAAUUAACUCAUACAGAACCAGUUAUCAUCAAAUUACUAUUAAGAAAAUUACAAGGCACUCACGCUUUAUUGAAUAUGUAUGCUUUUCCUCUGCGACAAUGAAAUACCUAGUUGCAUGAGGAUUAAUUUUUUUUAAAAAGAAAGACUGCCAAAUGGAGGCUGAAAUCAACAACGGAUCAGAACUCAACUACAAUGACCCAACAAAUAAAGUAGUCAGAGAGUAUUUCACAGCUCGAUAAGUCUUUGAAUUUCCAGAAAUAUUAGAGUAGAUGAAUGGAAACUGAAAUAACUUGGAACCUCUUUUUAUCUUACAAAAUUUUCAGAUUUGAGAACUUUAGAAAUAAGUUGGAGAUGAUGGAGGGGCGACCGAUUUUCUUUUAGGAAGAAGGUGGGAGGGGUCGUCAUUCUUCUGCUGCUGAAGAAGAAACAAAUUUAGGCGUGCUAACAUUUUGGAAGGGAAAAGUCCGUCGUUUCAUCGAUCGAGAGAGAGAGAGAGGGUCUUCUUCAUUUGAUUAGCGCUUUUUCUUUGUUUUUUGUGAGGAGGAGGGUUAGGUUGUAACGAGGGAAUGAGUAUUUGGGUAGGGCUCUGAUGGUA
rnacentral:lncRNA from 1 species